GGCGUAUUGCUGAGCCCGAUGGCGGCCUACGCGGUAUUGGCGCUGCUGCUCACCGGCGUUAUACGCCUGGGGCUGCAGCGCGUGGGAUUGGCGCAGUGGAUCUGGCACGAAGCCCUGUUCGAUUGCGCCCUG
rnacentral:sRNA from 1 species